rnacentral:rRNA from 1 species
CCUACGGGAGGCAGCAGUGAGGAAUAUUGGACAAUGGAGGCAACUCUGAUCCAGCCAUGCCGCGUGCAGGAAGACUGCCCUAUGGGUUGUAAACUGCUUUUAUACAGGAAGAAACCUUUUCACGUGUGAGAAGCUGACGGUACUGUAAGAAUAAGGAUCGGCUAACUCCGUGCCAGCAGCCGCGGUAAU